rnacentral:rRNA from 1 species
AUUGAACGCUGGCGGCAGGCUUAAUACAUGCAAGUCGAACGGUAACAGUGAGGAAGCAAUUCCUUAGCUGACGAGUGGCGGACGGGUGAGUAAAGUUUGGGAAUCUGUCCUGCAGGGGGGGAUAGCAGCUGGAAACGGCUGAUAAAACCGCGUACGCUCUGAGGAGGAAAGUGACGGGAUCUAGAAAUAGACCGUCAGCUGUAGGGUGAGCCCAAAUGGGAUUAGCUAGUAGGGGUGGUAAAGGCACACCUAGGCGAUGAUCUCUAGCUGGUUUUAGCGGAUGACCAGCCACAUUGGAGCUGAGACACGGUCCAAACUCCUACGGGAGGCAGCAGUAGGGAAUAUUGCACAAUGGAGGGAACUCUGAUGCAGCCAUGCCGCGUGUGUGAAGAAGGCCUUCGGGUUGUAAAGCACUUUUAUUAUAGAGAAGAGUAGGCGUAAUAAUAAGACGCAUAUGAGAUGUAACAUAAUGAAUAAGGACCGGCAAACUCCGUGCCAGCAGCCGCGGUAAUACGGAGGGUUCGAGCGUUAAUCGGAAUGACUGGGCGUAAAGGGCUGGUAGGUGGCAGCUUGAGUCAGCAGUGAAAUCCCCGUGCUUAACAUGGGAACUGCUGCUGAGACAGGGCAGCUAGAGUAUAGCAGAGGGAGACAGAAUUCCAAGUGUAGCGGUGAAAUGCGUAGAGAUUUGGAAGAAUACCGGAGGCGAAAGCGGUCUUCUGGGCUAAUACUGACACUGAACAGCGAAAGCGUGGGGAGCAAACAGGAUUAGAUACCCUGGUAGUCCACGCCAUCAACGAUGUCAACUUGAAAUCUGUGAGAAGCUACGGCGAAGGACAUGGGUUUCGAAGCAAACGCGAUAAGUUGACCGCCUGGGGAGUACGGCCGCAAGGUUAAAACUCAAAUGAAUUGACGGGGGCCCGCACAAGCGGUGGAGCAUGUGGUUUAAUUCGAUGCAACGCGAAGAACCUUACCUGGUCUUGACAUAUCAGCAAUUGGUCAGAGAUGACCGAGUGCCGCAAGGAAACUGAAUACAGGUGCUGCAUGGCUGUCGUCAGCUCGUGUCGUGAGAUGUUGGGUUAAGUCCCGCAACGAGCGCAACCCUUAUCCUUUGUUGCCAUCAUUAAGUUGGGAACUCAAAGGAGACUGCCAGUGAUAAACUGGAGGAAGGCAGGGAUGACGUCAAGUCAUCAUGGCCUUUACGACCAGGGCUACACACGUGCUACAAUGGGGCGUACAGAGGGAGGCGAAGUCGCGAGACCAAGCGGAACCCAGAAAGCGCCUCGCAGUCCGGAUUGAAGUCUGCAACUCGACUUCAUGAAGCUGGAAUCGCUAGUAAUCGCAAAUCAGAAUGUUGCGGUGAAUACGUUCCCGGGCCUUGUACACACCGCCCGUCACACCAUGGGAGUGGAUUGCACCAGAAGUAGCUAGCUUAACGCAAGAGGGCGGUUACCACGGUGUGGUUUAUGACUGGGGUG